AUUGAACGCUGGCGGAAUGCUUUACACAUGCAAGUCGAGCGGCAGCGCGGGGGCAACCCUGGCGGCGAGCGGCGAACGGGUGAGUAAUACAUCGGAACGUGUCCUUGAGUGGGGGAUAGCUCGGCGAAAGCCGGAUUAAUACCGCAUAAGCUCUGAGGAGGAAAGCGGGGGACUGGUAACGGCCUCGCGCUGUUGGAGCGGCCGAUGUCGGAUUAGCUAGUUGGUGGGGAAAGGCCCACCAAGGCGACGAUCCGUAGCUGGUCUGAGAGGAUGAUCAGCCACACUGGAACUGAGACACGGUCCAGACUCCUACGGGAGGCAGCAGUGGGGAAUUUUGGACAAUGGGGGCAACCCUGAUCCAGCCAUUCCGCGUGAGUG
rnacentral:rRNA from 1 species